GCCCAGAUGGCGGAAUUGGUAGACGCACUCGUUUCAGGUGCGAGCGCCGCGAGGCAUAGGAGUUCGAGUCUCCUUCUGGGCACUA
rnacentral:tRNA from 1 species